CAGCGCGGGAGCAAUCCUGGCGGCGAGCGGCGAACGGGUGAGUAAUGCUUCGGAAUCUGCCCAGUAGUGGGGAACAACCAGUCGAAAGACUGGCUAAUACCGCAUACGACCUAAGGGUGAAAGCAGGGGAUCGUAAGACCUUGCGCUAUUGGAUGAGCCGAAGUCGGAUUAGCUAGUUGGUGAGGUAACGGCUCACCAAGGCGACGAUCCGUAGCUGGUCUGAGAGGACGACCAGCCACACUGGGACUGAGACACGGCCCAGACUCC
rnacentral:rRNA from 1 species